GAUGAACGCUGGCGGCGUGCCUAAUACAUGCAAGUCGAGCGAACAGACGAGGAGCUUGCUCCUCUGACGUUAGCGGCGGACGGGUGAGUAACACGUGGAUAACCUACCUAUAAGACUGGGAUAACUUCGGGAAACCGGAGCUAAUACCGGAUAAUAUAUUGAACCGCAUGGUUCAAUAGUGAAAGACGGUUUUGCUGUCACUUAUAGAUGGAUCCGCGCCGCAUUAGCUAGUUGGUAAGGUAACGGCUUACCAAGGCGACGAUGCGUAGCCGACCUGGGAGGGUGAUCGGCCACACGGGAACUGGGACACGGUCCAGGCUCCUACGGGAGGCACCAGUAGGGAAUCUUCCGCAAAGGGCGAAAGCCUGACGGAGCAACGCCGCGUGAGUGAUGAAGGUCUUCGGAUCGUAAAACUCUGUUAUUAGGGAAGAACAAAUGUGUAAGUAACUAUGCACGUCUUGACGGUACCUAAUCAGAAAGCCACGGCUAACUACGUG
rnacentral:rRNA from 1 species